ensembl:piRNA 21ur-6415 ncRNA
UAUUUGUGUUCAUGAAGGAAU